GACGAACGCUGGCGGCGUGCUUAACACAUGCAAGUCGAACGGAAAGGCCCCUUUGGGGGUACUCGAGUGGCGCACGGGUGAGUAACACGUGAGUAACCUGCCCUUGACUUCGGGAUAACUUCAGGAAACUGGGGCUAAUACCGGAUAGGAAUCCUUGCUGCAUGGUGGGGGUUGGAAAGCUUCGGCGGUUUUGGAUGGACUCGCGGCUUAUCAGCUUGUUGGUGGGGUAGUGGCUUACCAAGGCUUUGACGGGUAGCCGGCCUGAGAGGGCGACCGGCCACAUUGGGACUGAGAUACGGCCCAGACGCCUACGGGAGGCAGCAGUGGGGAAUAUUGCACAAUGGGCGGAAGCCUGAUGCAGCAACGCCGCGUGCGGGAUGACGGCCUUCGGGUUGUAAACCGCUUUCAGCAGGGGCGAAGCUUGUGGUGACGGUACCUGCAGAAGAAGCACCGGCUAACUACGUG
rnacentral:rRNA from 1 species